UACGUAGGGUGCAAGCGUUGUCCGGAAUUAUUGGGCGUAAAGAGCUUGUAGGCGGUUUGUCGCGUCUGCUGUGAAAUUUCGGGGCUCAACCCCAAACUUGCAGUGGGUACGGGCAGACUAGAGGCAGGUAGGGGAGAAUGGAAUUCCCGGUGUAGCGGUGAAAUGCGCAGAUAUCGGGAGGAACACCGGUGGCGAAGGCGGUUCUCUGGGCCUGACCUGACGCUGAGGAGCGAAAGCGUGGGGAGCGAACAGG
rnacentral:rRNA from 1 species